rnacentral:rRNA from 1 species
UGGGGAAUAUUGCACAAUGGGCGCAAGCCUGAUGCAGCCAUGCCGCGUGUAUGAAGAAGGCCUUCGGGUUGUAAAGUACUUUCAGCGGGGAGGAAGGGAGUAAAGUUAAUACCUUUGCUCAUUUACGUUACCCGCAGAAGAAGCACCGGCUAACUCCGUGCCAGCAGCCGCGGUAAUACGGAGGGUGCAAGCGUUAAUCGGAAUUACUGGGCGUAAAGCGCACGCAGGCGGUUUGUUAAGUCAGAUGUGAAAUCCCCGGGCUCAACCUGGGAACUGCAUCUGAUACUGGCAAGCUUGAGUCUCGUAGAGGGGGGUAGAAUUCCAGGUGUAGCGGUGAAAUGCGUAGAGAUCUGGGGGAAUACCGGUGGCGAAGGCGGCCCCCUGGACGAAGACUGACGCUCAGGUGCGAAAGCGUGGGGAGCAAACAGG